CGUUACAUGACUAGUCAGCAAUAAGUAGAUAUACUAAGAAAGAAAAGAAGCCAUGAUAAUCUACAUCGACAGAGCAACUCUACGGCUGAUAAUAUCACUAGAGACUACCAUCAUUAACUAUCAGUAAGGAAUUAUGUUGAAAAGGGAUUGCAGAUUGCAGAUUUAUAUUUGGCCAAGGCAUGGUUUCGUAACUCCCAACCCAUGACAAGAAGCCGAUCCUCUGAAUUGUGUUUCCAGAACAAUGCAAAAUAUGUGAUGAAAAGUAGAGGAAUACCAGAGAAAAGCAGGGGGUAAUGAAAGUUGUGAUGAAUCGGAGGUGCAUGUAAUCAAACAACCUUGAUAGGAUCAGAGCAAGAAGAAGGAGCAACAAUAGUGGGCCGUGGAUUGCAAGAUGGUUCUCUGAAUUGUGGUACUUAUUGUGUAGUGCAUACAUUAGUCAAAAUGACAUUUGUGAAAUUUCAAUGAGAACAAUGCAAAUAUGUAUAUUAAUUGACAUCCUAUCAUUUCUACCAUUUAUCAAACAGUUUCCAGAACAAUGCAAAAUAUGUGAUGAAAAGUAGAGGAAUACCAGAGAAAAGCAGGGGGUAAUGAAAGUUGUGAUGAAUCGGAGGUGCAUGUAAUCAAACAACCUUGAUAGGAUCAGAGCAAGAAGAAGGAGCAACAAUAGUGGGCCGUGGAUUGCAAGAUGGUUCUCUGAAUUGUGGUACUUAUUGUGUAGUGCAUACAUUAGUCAAAAUGACAUUUGUGAAAUUUCAAUGAGAACAAUGCAAAUAUGUAUAUUAAUUGACAUCCUAUCAUUUCUACCAUUUAUCAAACAGUUUCCAGAACAAUGCAAAAUAUGUGAUGAAAAGUAGAGGAAUACCAGAGAAAAGCAGGGGGUAAUGAAAGUUGUGAUGAAUCGGAGGUGCAUGUAAUCAAACAACCUUGAUAGGAUCAGAGCAAGAAGAAGGAGCAACAAUAGUGGGCCGUGGAUUGCA